rnacentral:snoRNA from 1 species
UCACCGAUGAUUAGAGAUAAUAUUUACCAAUUACCAAUUGUUCCGACUGAAUGGGUCACUCCCGUAUGUCGACAACCUUCAUAAUUCGUUAAGUUUCAGCCUUGUAUGAGUUGG